GCCCAUUCGGCUAAUCAAUGUCUUUUAAGUUUCUCCUCAGAAACGGUGGCCAAUCAUCAUCUAUACAAAUCCAUGACAGGAUGAAAUGAGUUCAUGUGGAUCUGGGUGGCUCAAAGGAUGGACGACAGCAGAUGGAGUCCUUUGUACUCUCUGUGAUUUUCCUGUGUCUAAGGACAGGAGAUGGCAUAAGCAGAUAAAAGGUGCAGAGUUGUAUUAGAAGUCCACACAUCCCAUGAAAGGCAUGGAAAAAUAGAAAGUUAUUCAUCAGAUUGCAAUGGACCUCUUAUAUAGAGGAAAUUGAGACUUCAGUAUGUUGGAUUACUUCAGCAGGAUCCAGUAGGAGAUUUUCAUUUGUAUUCAAAGGCUGCUUCAAGAUUCCCCCUAAAGAAAGGUCAUGUCACGUCACUUCUCUGUUUAAAAACUUAAUGGAUUCUCCCCUCUCUCAAAGACAUCCCAAAUCAUCACUCUUUCAUUCAAGUGUACAGAGGAAGAACCAUUGUGAGGAUAAAGCAAGAAGACAACCGUCUGCAAGCCAGGAAGGGAAACUUUAUCAGAAAGCAACUGUGCUGGAACCCUGAUUUUAGAUUUUGUAGUCUUUAGAAAAGAAAUAAAAAUUAUUUUUGUUUAAGCUACCCAACUUAUGGUAUUUUGUUAUGGAAGUCUUAGCAGAAUAAGACAGAGAGCAUUAUCAACAUAAUGUCUUUUUAAAUUUGAUUCUCAUUUUGAAGGGUUUUUGCAGACCUGGGUUAUAUUUACAAGUUUUCAGGGCAAAUGUGUUAUGUCUCCAUUAGGUGCCAAAUUCUAAUCAAG
rnacentral:lncRNA from 10 species